rnacentral:rRNA from 1 species
UACGUAGGGGGCAAGCGUUGUCCGGAAUUAUUGGGCGUAAAGCGCGUGUAGGCGGCUCGGUAAGUCUGCUGUGAAAGUCCAGGGCUCAACCCUGGAAUGCCGGUGGAUACUGUCGAGCUCGAGUCCGGAAGAGGCGAGUGGAAUUCCUGGUGUAGCGGUGAAAUGCGCAGAUAUCAGGAGGAACACCGGUGGCGAAGGCGGGUCUCUGGGCAAUAACUGACGCUGAGGAGCGAAAGCGUGGGGAGCGAACAGG